AUGCAUUUACAGAAAACCCCUGUAAGUUUUCUAAAAAAGCAAUCGGGUCCCUGGAUGUUUUUCAAAAAAGCAAUCGGGUCCCUGAUAACUCAUGCGCCCAGAGGAAACGACGCCGGCGGCUCGCCGGCCGCCAGGUCGCUGGCCAGGCGAAAGGAGGCAGCCGACCGCUGCUGCUGCUCCUGGCCAUGGCGCGCGGUCGGAGCCCUUGGCCAUGGCGCGGCUGGUGGCGGCUCCCCGUGCUCCUUGGCCCGUACCAGCGAGGCGCGAGGCGAGGCGGCCGACCGCUGCCGCUGCUCGUGUCCAUGGCGCGCGGUCGGAGCCUGCGCGACUCCCAGCGCUCGCGGCUGGAGCCGCCGUGAAGUCCCAGCCGAGCGGCCUCUCUCUUUCCUCCCUCUUCCUGGGCGCGGCGGCCCGAGCCCGAGCCCCUGGCCAUGA
rnacentral:rRNA from 1 species